GACGUAGGGCGCGAGCGUUGUCCGGAUUAUUGGGCGUAAAGAGCUCGUAGGCGGGCUUGUCGCGUCGAAUGUGAAACCUGCAGCUCAACUGGCAGGCUUGCAUUCGAUACGGGCAGGCUCGAGUUCGGUAGGGAGACUGGAAUUCCUGGUGUAGCGGUGGAAAUGCGCAGAUAUCAGGAGGAACACCGGUGGCGAAGGCGGGUCUCUGGGCCGAUGACUGACGUGAGGAGCGAAGCGUGGGGAGCAACAGG
rnacentral:rRNA from 1 species